UAUGUGUUCAGAUCCUAAACACUUGUGUUAGGUGUUAGGUUAUUAGCCUAACUAUAAAUUAAUCAAUUGCUGUCAGGCUACAUAUUUCAAACAAUGUAGGCCUAUUUAAUUUAAUACAAAAUGUAACAGCAUGGGGGAUCAAAAUAUUUGUAGCCUAUGAAGUUCUUGUCGCACCCAACCUCAUCCCUGUUCUCUCUUAAUCCCUUUCCAUCUCCCUCUCUUCCUCUGUUGCCCCUCUCCUCUUAAUCAAUGAGAUAAGUUACCCCCUCACAUUUCUCCUCGUGCACUGGUGCCCUACAUCAGCUCUCAACCGCCAUCUGCACAACUCGAGGACAAUGACCCAAAACACACCUCAAGGCUGUGUAAAGGCUAUUUGACGAAGAAGGAGAGUGAUGGGGCUGCAUCAGAUGACCUGGCCUCCACAAUCAGCCAACCUCAACACAAGUGAUAUGGUUUGGGAUGAGUUGGACCACAGAGUGAAGGAUAAAGCAGCCAACAAGUGCUCAGCAAAUGUGGGAAGUCCUUCAAGACUGUUGGAAAGCAUUCCUCAUGAAGCUGGUUGAGAUAAUGCCAAGAGUAUGAAAAGCUGUCAUCAAUGCAAAGAUUGGCUACUUUGAAGAAUCUCAAAUAUAAAAUAUAUUUUGAUUUGUUUAACACUUUUUUGGUUACUACACUGUUCCAUAUGUGUUAUUUCAUAGUGUUGAUGUCUUUACUAUUAUUCUACAAUGUAUAAAAUAUUAAAAAUAAAGACAAACCCUUGAAUCAGUAGGUGUGUCCAAACUUUUGACUGGUAUAUAUGUAUUUUUUUUAUACAUCUCCCAUUUGGUAAUGCGGUUUACAGCAGCAAUAACAAAUGUGUUGACUUGACACCUGUGUCUGAGUUUUGAAGGACCCUUACCCCCCUUUUGUUCCAUGCUGGCUGAAGACCUAGCUAGCCUCUCUGGGCUAGGCGGGACGAAUUCGUCCCACCUACGCAACAGCCAGUUGAAUCCCGUGGCGCGAUUUUCAAAUACCUUAGAAAUGCUAUUACUUCAAUUUCUCAAACAUAUGACUAUUUUACAGCAUUUUAAAGACAACACUCUCGUUAAUCUAACCACACUGUCCGAUUUCAAAAAGGCUUUACAACGAAAGCAAAACAUUAGAUUAUGUCAGCAGAGUACCCAGCCAGAAAUAAUCAGACACCCAUUUUUCAAGCUAGCAUAUAAUGUCACAUAAACCCAAAC
rnacentral:lncRNA from 1 species